ACGACCUUACUUGAACAGGAUCUGUUCUAUAGGAAGUACUUCUGUAUCCUUGAUUUCUAAGGAGACAGGCCCGAUAACCUGGUUGAUGAUUCAUGUCCGUGCGAUCUGAGUGUGAUUAACGGCUACGACACUCCUCGGAGUGUCCGCGCUGUAGAGGAUCGCUACCUAGCCUGGUCUUGACCUCGCUAGGGUGGUCGCACGGUUGUCUGACAGGCU
rfam:Brassica napus, WGS project CCCW01000000 data, contig: 4898